AUUUAGAGGUCUUUUGAAGAGCUAACACUCAAGAGACUAGUAGAGGACGGGGUGUAAGUGUAGCAGAACUCACUAAUAAUGUCCCGAGAGGACGUAAUGGGGACUUCUCGCAGCCAGCCUGGGAGUGGAGAGCAGAGCAGGGCUAACCUGGGAGACGCCUUCCGAUGUGAAAGCUUGUGGAGGAAGUAGUAGAGAUACAGACACAGGGGCACACACCUAUGAUCUCACCACUUGGGAGGCUGAGGAAGGAGACUGCGAGUUCCAGGCCCACCUGGUCUACAGAGAAAGACCUGGCCUCGAGGGGAAACAACAGAGGUUGUAGGUGACAUCAGUGAAACAAAACUCUCAUUGGCUAGAUGUCAGAUGUGCCAAGUUUGUGCCCCCUGAAAUCAGAGAAUGAAUUUUAAGGAAUAAUGGAAGUUAAGAGCAGGAAAGAUUUAUUGAGAAAUAGCUCCUAAGAGACAGGAGGAUGUCUUCAGUGGGACUCUACUAAGGCCUUUUGUCAUGGGAAAUUCACAAUGUGGAUAUAAUGUGAGUUCAACUGUAAUCAAUUAAAAAUAUAAUUGCCUAGCUAAUAUUGAUCUAAUAGAGAAACAAGUCACACAGCAAGGAUACAUGGAAUGAACAAAGUUGUGUUUGGAGAGGGUUGGGUCCGGAUGCUCUGGCCACCACCUGGGAAACUCAUACUUACUUACUGGACCCACUGGACCAGGAGGUGCUGAUUACAGAAUACCUCCAAGGUAUUUUUUGUGCCUCAGGGAGGCAUGCAGUUCUGUCCAUUGCAUCUCUGCUUUGAGGUCUGGUCUCUUUCAGAUGAGCCUCCAUCUACAAUUUUGAUGUUUUUAUUUUUCUGCCAACUUCCUUGAGAGCCGAUCCCUCUCAGACUGUAUAUCUAUUUCUACCUAACUUUGCUGCCUCUGACAUAGGCAGGUGGGGGAUGGCACAGUUUAAGCAAGAAUACUCAGAAAGCGCCUCACCUUGCUCAGCCAGGACUUGCUGAAGUUCCUCUGUAGACAGCUCCUCUGUGUGUUCCUCCACCAGUUCCUCAGCACCACCACUGUCUACACGCAAGCCAAUGAACUGUGCUAUAGCGACAACCACAAGACUAUUUCCCUGGAGAGGAACAAGGAAUUCUUCACUUCAGAGGGCAGUUUGAAAGACAAAAUCUGUUCCACCGAGGGAACACAAGAGGGAGCCCUUUCCACCCAAGCUUGGAGAUGA
rnacentral:lncRNA from 1 species